GCUCCAGUGGCGCAAUCGGUUAGCGCGCGGUACUUAUAAGACAGUACGCUUGUGAGCAAUGCCGAGGUUGUGAGUUCGAGCCUCACCUGGAGCA
rnacentral:tRNA from 1 species